CUAAUAAGAGACAAAUGGUAAAUGAAGGACAAUGAAAAACUAAAUUAAAAAAAAAAAAGCUAAAAGCAUAAUACAUGUGCAAACUUGUUUAUUGAGCACCAAUGUAGUAUGAAGCAAAAUCCCACUACUACAUCCCAUUUUUAUAUGCUUUUAUACAGGAAUAAGAUGUGACUUAUUUAAUUGAUUGCUUUAUGGUGACAUCUAAUUCCUUAAGGGGAUUAAAUUGAUAUUACUCAGGAAGCACAAAAUUAAUUCUCCAACAAUAUAAUCAACCAAGAAGAAGGUAAGUUGCACCAUUUGUCACCAAACUUUUGGAUUAAUUUCAGGUUGCUAAUAAAGAUCAAAUGAUCAAUUAGAUCCAAUUUCACCAUUAUAGCCAAUUUCCAAUGUGGAUUGCACAUGUACAUGCUUGUACAUUUACAUAGAUGUUAAUCUUAGUAUAAGUGUUUGGAAAAGAAAUUCGAAUGAUUUUGUUGCAUUUCCAAUGAGGUGAUUCACUGAAGUGUCGCAGUUCCAACAAUGAUUACCAAACUGUAGGUAAAAAUAGAAAUUUACUGAUGAAGUUGGAACAAAUUAAUAUUUUUAGUGACAAACUUGAGUACAAGCCGUUAAGCCUCAAGUAGUGCCAUUAGCCCACAAGGAAAAGGAUGAUGCCCAUCAAUGAAAUUCAACAAAUGAAUGUAGAAGGCUAUGCAUUUCAAUUUUGGGAAUGAACAACUGAAGGUAACAUGAUUUGAAAAUUUUGCAGUUUGGCUUCACGAAAAUUUAAAAUUUGACAAAUAGCACCUGCCACAACUCUAAGCAUCUUAAUAAACUCUAAAGAUACACACAUAAGCAACUACAUAAAUCCAACUUUGUCUUUGCGUGUGUGAAUCUGUGUGUGUGAGAGGUGUGUGUUAAUGCCUCUAUGAUCAAACAUUUCCCAUUGACAUGACUGAUCAAACAUGCUAAACUAUAUAAGCCCAGUAUAUAUACUCGACUAAAACCUGUUAAGCUAAGCACAACAGUGCGCUAGGAAGUGCUUAUCAAGCAGAAGAUGCAAAACACCAAUAACUCAUAAGUUAUAGUGGCUCUAACAUUUGACAGCUAAGUUAUGAUCUAUGAUACCAAGUUAGAGUUCAGAAAACAGAACACAAUCAAAAUGUACAUACCAUUAAAUUCAGACUAGAUACAACUAUAAGCCUGAUAAUGAAGAAUUGUCACAGGGCAAAAAUGCUUGGCAAUUCUAACCCAACAUGCAGUAUCUAAAAGUUAACACUUUUGCAGCACAUAUAAACUAAAAGAAGUACCAAGUAUUAAGCCACAAAAGGCACAGACCAUCAUUGAGGAAAAAUGACAAGUGCCACGAGAUUUUGUCCCAUGCAAUGUCAUAUAAUGCAAAAAGUAUCAACAGCCUGGAAACUCCAGAAUCUCAAACCUUCAGGUGUCCACAUUCUCAAAAUGAAGCAAUGUAGCACAGCGUAUUUAAAAAAA
rnacentral:misc_RNA from 1 species